rnacentral:rRNA from 1 species
CAGUCGCCACGGGAAUACGUAGGUGGCAAGCGUUGUCCGGAAUUAUUGGGCGUAAGGCGUGCGUAGGCGGUUCGUUAAGUCUGUUGUGAAAGCCCCGGGCUCAACCUGGGAAUGGCAAUGGAUACUGGCGAGCUAGAGUGUGUCAGAGGAUGGUGGAAUUCCCGGUGUAGCGGUGAAAUGCGUAGAGAUCGGGAGGAACAUCAGUGGCGAAGGCGGCCAUCUGGGACAACACUGACGCUGAGGCACGAAAGCGUGGGGAGCAAACAGGAUUAGAUACCCGAGUAGUCCCUGUCUCUUAUAC